rnacentral:SRP_RNA from 2 species
GCUGGGCGUGGUGGCACGCGCCUGUAAUCCCAGCUACUUGGGAGGCUGAGGCAGGAGAAUCACUUGAACCCGGGAGGCGGAGGUUGCAGUGAGCCAAGAUUGUGCCACUGCUCUCCAGCCUGGGUGACAGAGUGAGAAUCUGUCUCAA